UCCGCGCGCAUGCGGGCCAGCCGCUUCUCGCUCGCGGUGAGGACGUCGCCGUCGAAGCCGGCGAGGCGGAUCGUCCCCGUCGCGUGGAG
rnacentral:tRNA from 1 species